rnacentral:rRNA from 1 species
UACGAAGGGGGCUAGCGUUGUUCGGAAUUACUGGGCGUAAAGCGCACGUAGGCGGAUACUUAAGUUAGGGGUGAAAUCCCGGGGCUCAACCCCGGAACUGCCUUUAAUACUGGGUAUCUCGAGUUCGAGAGAGGUGAGUGGAAUUCCGAGUGUAGAGGUGAAAUUCGUAGAUAUUCGGAGGAACACCAGUGGCGAAGGCGGCUCACUGGCCCGAUACUGACGCUGAGGUGCGAAAGCGUGGGGAGCAAACAGG